rnacentral:hammerhead_ribozyme from 1 species
GUACUGAUGAAGAGUCCCAAAAGAGUCCCUAGGAUGAAACAGUUGUCCAGUAC